GACCAGCUUUUAAAGUUGAAUUCUUCCUUCUUCUUUUUUUUUUCCUUCAGGUUUCAGCUCUGCAUCUGCCUGGAUGCCAGCCAAGGGUCUGCAAACACUGAGGUGUUGGUAUGCUAGGGUGAGGCUCAUUGCCAUAGCAACAGGCUGGAUUCCCUGAGAAGUGAGCUCAGCAGGAGAAAACAUGGCUCCACCUGGCUCUAGCAUCAGGGCUAAGAAAGAAGAAAAGCAAUGCAGUGGGUCAUAACAUGGCUGUGAGCAGCCCAAAAACUUCCUUGAGGUUGAAUGGGCCAAGCACAGAAUAUCUGUGAGUGAUGAUGGAGGAUCUUCCUUAUAUGAUUUCCCUUGGGGCUGCUUGGACAGUCUUCAGGGAGAUGGUGGAGAAGGAGAAGCCAGGCAACCAGAAGCAUCUACAAAGUGAGAGUUCAUCCACCAGAGAACAGUACUUAGCAUCAGCACCCAAUAUUUAAACAAAAAGA